GAUCAACGCUGACAGAAUGCUUAACACAUGCAAGUCAUUGGCGAAGCUGCGCUUGCGCAGUCUAGCCAAGGCGGACGGGUGAGUAACGCGUAAGGAACUUGCCCUGCAGACAGGGAUAACAGACGGAAACGACUGAUAACACCUGGUAUUGUCAGGCUGGCGCAUGCCGGCCUGAUGAAAGGAGACACUGCAGGAGAGCCUUGCGUCCUAUUAGCUAGUUGGUGGGGUAACGGCCCACCAAGGCGAUGAUAGGUAGCCGGCCUGAGAGGGUGAACGGCCACAAGGGGACUGAGAUACGGCCCUUACUCCUACGGGAGGCAGCAGUGGGGAAUAUUGGACAAUGGGGGCAACCCUGAUCCAGCAAUUCUGUGUGCACGAAGAAGGUUUUCGGAUUGUAAAGUGCUUUCAGCAGGGAAGAAGAAAGUGACGGUACCUGCAGAAGAAGCGACGGCUAAAUACGUG
rnacentral:rRNA from 1 species